UAAGGGAUAUUGCGCAAUGGGCGAAAGCCUGACGCAGCAACGCCGCGUGGAGGAUGACGGCCUUCGGGUUGUAAACUCCUUUGGACGCAGACGAGGAAGGACGGUAUGCGUCAAACAAGUCACGGCUAACUACGUGCCAGCAGCCGCGGUAAAACGUAGGUGGCAAGCGUUAUCCGGAUUUACUGGGCGUAAAGCGUGUGCAGACGGGUCGUCAAGUGGUGUAUGAAAUCGCUCGGCUCAACCGGGCGCGGGUAUGCCAGACUGGCGGUCUAGAGGGUGCGAGAGGGACGUGGAAUUCCGGGUGUAGUGGUGAAAUGCGUAGAGAUCCGGAGGAACCCCUGAGGCGAAGGCGGCGUCCUGGCGCACUUCUGACGUUCAGACACGACAGCAUGGGGAGCGAACGGGGAUUAGAAACCCCGGUAGUCCAUGCCGUAAACGAUGCCAACUAGGCGCUGAGGGACUCAACCCCCGCGGUGCCGUAGCUAACGCGCUAAGUUGGCCGCCU
rnacentral:rRNA from 1 species